rnacentral:lncRNA from 1 species
UGCCUGAGGGACCUGGGUCCGUAGCAGCAGCUGGGGAGCAGCACCGCCAAAGGGGAAGAGUGGCUGCGGGGAGACGUGACCAAGACUGUGACAGUGCAGCAAGAACUCUCUUCUCUAGGUUGUCCUGAGCAAGAGUGUGACCUGGCCCAUGCUGAAUGAAUCGCAGCUUCUUAUUGGACCCAGAAGCCCCUGACCACGGAGUCACUGGGAAGGCAGGCCAUGAUGAGUUAUCUCCCCCACCCAAAAGAAUGUUCUAGCUUGUCAAGUAGAUAGUCAAGAAGGCCAUGUCCCAAUAAAUCCCCUACAGAGGAAACUAUCAUGGAAGGAAAAGCACAGGCUUUGAGGCACAAUCUGGGCUUCCCAUCCUGAGCCCAUCACUUCCUAGGAGCAGUGAGGCUGUGGAUAAGUCACCCACUCUCUGAGCCUUUUUUCCUCAUCUAUAAAAUGGGAAGUAGCUUUUCUGCAGGGAGACAGGAUUCAAACGGGAAUCCUGAUGCCUCCUAAAGCAGUGUGGUUCAUGGCCCCACGGUUUCAAUCUCAUCUCCUCCAAGGUUCUAGACACUCUCAAGGCUAGGAUUAAGCGUCAUCCCUCAUUCAGCCAUCAUUCAUUCAAUCCAAAUAUUUAUCAGGUGCCUCCAAUGUGCCAGGCACUGGAGAACUAACACCGGAAAAACAUAAGUCAGGUCUCUGCCUGCGCAGAGCUCCGUCUGCUGGGGACCAACUCAUUCAGGUGUUUAUUCAACACCGAGCCACCGCCAAGCGCCAGGCACUGUGCUGGGCUCGGCCCUGUGUCCUGUGUUUACGAAGCAGCCUCCCCAUCCUCCCUUCAUUUGUUCCCCAUACAGCCUGAUGAGGAAGCAAGUACAAGGAGGACAUUGUUUUAAAAAAAAAAAUUGUAUUAAAAGUUUGUUGAUUUAUGAUGUUUGGUCAAUUUCUGCUGUACAGCAAAGGGACCCAGUCAUACACAUAUAUACAUGCUUUUUAUCGCAUUAUCUUCCAUCACAAGUGAUUGCACCCGGAUUACGUUUUGCAGGCAAGAAGCUAGAGAUGCAGGAAGACCAAGUGGAAAGCUGAUCUGGGAACCAAAACCUCCUCUCUUCACAGGGAUCCACUGAAGGCCUGCUCUGGGCCAGAUGCAGAUGUCCAGUCUGGCUGCCUUUGUUUGCCUGUGUGUCGUCCCGGUCCCUAUUUGUCCCCAAGACCUGAUCCUCCGCCUCAUCAAGCCCUCAGCCAGGGACCUUCCACACCACAGGGGUGCAUUGUGAACUGAUUCCUCGAAUUGCAGCGCCUCGGCUGUCCCCCUUUGUAGCCCAGGAGAUCCUUCCUGCACUUGAACCUCCAUACCUUACAGGUCAGGGCUGAUUCCUCCUGGGGGCCUCCUUUGAGCAGAGCAAUGCUCCAGGCAAGAUCUUCACUUUCCUCCCAAAUGCCAGCAUGCGAGCGGAAGGCACAGCAGACCCUGCACUGCCAGCCAAGUGGGGGCUCACUCGGGGGCCCCCUGGGACUGCUGGGAAGAGCAGGGAGCCGGGCGUGCAGAUCUUCCGAAAAGCCAGUGGCGCUAAGCAAUCCGAGUGGGAGAGAAGGAGAGAGUCGUGGGGGAGGGGCACAGUGUAGUGAGCCCCCCACCACGUUCCCGGGAGUCUGGAAACUGGCAGCAGGAUGUUCCCUCCAGAAUCCUGGAGGGAAGCACUGGGAGGGGGGUGGGGCAGUAUCACCUAACACCCAACUUGCUGUCAACUUGAAUGAAUACAUCCCAGUUGCGCCAGAUAGGACUGACAAGCCCAGCAGCCCCAACCGCCCCCCACACCUUUUGUUUUUGUCUUUUUAGGGCCACACUGGCGGCAUAUGGAAGUUCCCAGGCUAGGGGUUGAACUGGAGCUGCAGCUGCCAGCAGCCUCCACCACAGCCACAGCAACACGGGAUCCAAGCCAUGUCUGCGACCUCCACCACAGCUCACAGCAACGCCGGAUCCUUAACCCACGAAGCGAGGCCAGGGAUCGAACCCGCAACCGCAUGGAUGCUAGUCAGAUUCAUCACCGCUGAGCCACAACGGGAACUCCCCAAAGCCCCUUCUGAGUACCCCUCCUCCUCCACUUCCACCUCUUCCAGGAAGACUUCUCAGAUCAUGUCCCCUGACCAGAGCAUUCCCGGGGUGUCCACCCAGCUCCAGUACAAACAAUCUCCAUCUCUCUUUUUCCUGGGCGUUUUCUGUCCCUGUCAAGCCUGGGCUCCGGGUGGUGGGCCAAGUCUGUGGUGCAGGAGACCGUGGAGGUUUCUGGAGAGCAUCUCCUUCCUCUGCAGGUAAGGGAUCGCCACUGCAGCUGAGACCCAGGCCAGCGCCCGCUUCGGAGGUCACCCCUCAUCUCCGCCAGCUCCUGACUGUUCUACAGCUGUUCACAGCCGCUCUCUCUCUCGUGCUCCUGGCACAGAGACCUCCGCCCGGGUCUGGAUCUUGUCUCCUCUUUCAUCUCCCGCUCCUGGUUCUUACCAACGUUAUUCCUCUAACCCCACAGGCAGCGAGCAGUCGCCUCUAAAUCAUGCUCCCGGAGUUCCCGUCGUGGCGCAGUGGUUCACGAAUCCGACUAGGAACCAUGAGGUUGCAGAUUUGAUCCCUGACCUUGCUCAGUGGGUUAAGGAUCCAGCAUUGCUGUGAGCUGUGGUGUAGGUCGCAGACGUGGCUCGGAUCUGGUGUUGCUGUGGCUGUGGUGUAGGCUGGCGGCUACAGCUCUGAUUCAACCCCUAGCCUGGGAACCUCCAUAUGCUGCUGGUGCAAGCCUAAAAUACAAAAAAAAUAAGUAAAAUAAGAUAAAAUAAUAAAAUCACACCCCUGGGUGUUCCUGUUGUGGUUCAGAGGUAACGAACUCGACUAGUAUCUAUGAGGUUGUGGGUUCGAUCCCUGCCAUAAAGGGAACUCCCCAACUGCCCUGUAAUCUAUUUAUUCUCUCCCAUGAGAGAGCAAAUGUGUGUUCCAAGGAUAGGAAACAGUUGUCUGUUUGUUGCCAUAUCAUCAGCAUCUGGGACAGGGCCUGGCACAUAGUAGGUGCUUGUUUGUUGCCAUGUCAUCAGCACCUGGGACAGGGCCUGGCACACAGUAGGUGCUCAAUACAUGUUGAUUGAAUAACUCACUAAUAGGGUAGACGUGGGGCUGGCAGCCUGGGAAUAGGGUGGAAAUUCAUGUUUCCAGGCUUCUUAGUCAGCUAAAGGUAAGGAGGCCCAGAGAGGGCAGCCUGCUUCUGUGUAGCCACCCAGCCAGGAACAGAAGAGUCAACCCCCCUUCCUUGUCACGUCUGUCCCAGCUCUCCCUCCUCCCUGCCUUCAGGGCCUUCUCUGGGUGAUUGUGCUCCUGGCAUCUGGCAUCCAUCAGUCUCUUCCAGAAGCCUCUGGGAAACAACUGGGGGGGUGGCUAAAGCGAUCCCAGAUUGGGGACAGGCAGCCGUGUGCAGGCAAAUUGCCCCUGUCGGCCCCAGCCCUGCCCAGAGCUGCCAGCCCAGUGGCUUCACCGCCCCCAACACCCCAUGAGCCUGGGAGGAGGGUUUUGCCAACCACAUACCACUCCCAGCUCCAGAUUCCAGGGGGAAGGAGGAGGGGAGCCGGCGGGAGGGAACAAGAGCGAGCAAAUGGGACCUGACAGGGCCGGGCACCCCAGGGAAAGAAUGUAAAUAAAGAUCCGUAAAUAUUUAGGGGAAAUGGAACGGGAAGUGGGAGAAGGAGGGGGGGAGGGGAUGUGUUGGGUUUCCAACAACAUCUGGAGGGCAGUCCCCCUCCGCAUCCUCCCCCACAACCCAUCUCACCCCAUGUGGGGGCUCACAGUGUGUUGGCUCUCGGCUGUGUGUGUGUCUGCGCUGGACUGUCUGGAUCUGUGUAUACUUGGGGUGAGGCUGCGGGUCCGGAGGGCUUGCCUGGCCAAGUGUACGCAAGGCCAGCCUCACCGGCCCCACACUGAGUGUCUCCCUCUGGGUCACUCGUGUCUUGCUUUCCACAAGGCCCUGCUGUGAACCCAGGCCAUGGGCAUUGUGGAAGGAAAAGAAGGGGGUCCCUAUGCUCGAUGAGUUUCUUUCUUCCUUCUUCCCCCGCUCCACCUUUUUUUUCUUUUCUUUUCUUUUCUUUUUUUAGGGCCACACCUGUGGCACAUCGAAAUGCCCCCCUAACACCCCAUAGCACUCACAGCCUCCCAGCUACUCCACACCCAAGAUUCCCAGGCUAGGGGUGGAAUUGGAGCUGCCGCUGCCAGCCUACACCACAGCCACACCACCACCAGAUUUGAUCCUCAUCUGCGCCACCCAUGCUGCAGCUUGCAGCAAGGCCGGAUCCUUAACCCACUGAGCGAGGCCAGGGAUCAAACCCACCUCCUCACUGAGACUACCCGCUAAGCCAUGACGGGAACGCCCCUCAAGGAGUUUCUAAGUGACAGGAUGAUGACAACACAUGUGGAGGGCCUUGAGAGAAGGGACUCUCAACCCAGGCCAGGGCAGACUGACAUGGAGAUCAGGGAGGGCUUCCUGGAGGAAGAGGCGCAUUAUGGGAUUAUGAAAGUAUGGGAGACAGGGAUGAGGAAAGAAUAGAUGUGUCAGAGGGGAAGUUCAUUUUCAGGGAGAGGUAGGCAUAUGCAACACCAAUGGGCAAGGUGGCAAAGGGCGAUGGAGCAGGGGGCAAAGAAACCUGACCCAGCCCUGGGGGAAAAUGUAAACCAAGAAGCCCACUGUGCCACCAAAGGCAUGAGAGGGGACAUUGCCAGGUUCCAUCUCACCCUCCUUCUCUUCCACACCUUUUCCCUUUCUCUGUAGCAACCAACCCUGGGCUUUGCCCCCGGCCCCUAACCCUAAGAGCAUAGCUCAGGACCCUGGAGCCUUGGAGCUCCCGUCAUGGCUCAGCAGAAACGAAUCUGAUGACAUGCAGAACCCUGAAGCCUGGAGUAUCUCAUCAGUCCUACUGCAUCACUUUUACAGAGGAGGAAACUGAGGCCCGGAGAAGGCAGGUGACCUGCCCAGGAAUCCGUGGCAGUAAGUGGUAGAGCUGGGGCUAGAACGUGGGGCCCCUGGCUCAUGUAGGAGGAAGUAAGAAGGCAAAUCCCUCCUUGCUCUGGGCCACCUCAGGCCGUUUUGGGGACUCAACCUGUGUCUGGGCUGUUGGCAGAUGUGGGCCAUAACCAGUGGCCAGCCCUCCCCUGCACUCUGCUUGCUACUUCAUCAGACCCACUGAUGUCCCUUGCUCUGGCCCUUCCGCCACGGACACUGGCUAGCUUUGGCAUAACCAAGAGGGAGCCCUCGAACUGGGGAUGGACACGCCAGGAUCUGGAUUAUGGUUAGAGCAGAGUGGCGUGGGAGAGGCCCCAACCCAGGCCC